rnacentral:rRNA from 1 species
CUAAGCGGUUAUGGUAAGCGGGCACGCGGUGCGAGCAGGACGCCUUGUACGUUUUCCCAGUUUAGGGAUCGGCGGUUGGAAGGGGCAGUUCGGACGCCGGGGAGGCGGAGCAGAGGAGGGGCAGGGAGGAGAGGUUGCGGCGGCGGGAGCUACGCGGUAAUCCCGCGGCAGCUGUGCAGUCCCUAUGUGGCACUACCUCGAGUCGGGCUCGGGUCGUCUUCGGUGAGGAUUGGUACAAGCGAGUUAACUGUUCUCUUCCCGUCGCCUAACCAGCUCCCGUGGGCGUACCGGAGCAGCGGCGACAGUGGACCUAAGCGAUCGGCGGCGGAACUCAGUGUGGGCAGCGGCGGCGCUCAGUCGAGGUAGUAACGACGUUCCUUAGAGCAGGGGCCGUUCCUUUUAAGGAUCCCUAAAAUAACUGCCUCCGUAGUGAUAGACCACGACCUAAUAGGUAAAAACGUCGUGAUCGUUACGAUACAGCGAGUACGGUUCGUAGCAAAGUGUAAGUCCCCCCAAAUGAGAGGGAGUUGCAUUCGCAGCUACGUUACCUAUAACUAAAACCGAACCCACGUUUAACUCAUGUCUGCUGAAAGAUCAAAUCCGUAGUAAAGCUUUAACAAACCACAGGUACUUAAAGGGCUACUCGAACCGGACGUGGUACGACGGAGUACAUCCUAAAACCGCGAGCACUAGAAGGAACGAAUCCACUGAACAGGGUUAGGAAGAAGGGGAGGGUAGACUAGAGAGAGAGAGAGAGAGAGAGAGAGUCCAAACUGCACACAAGAUCAAAUUCGAAUUGUACUAAAAAACUAUUUGUAAUGUACCUCCUGCUACCAAAAGACAUUUUGUUCGGUAAGUUUCCUUUUAUUACUAUGAACUCAAGUAACACAAAACACACUAAACGUGGUACCAACCUAAAAACCUGUUUACCCGUAACAACGAAGUGACGAUAUACACCAACUACGAAUCAAGUCUUUGAGCCAAGCUCAAUUUAACGAAAUCCGGUAGGAAGGAUAGAGAUGAUAAUUUCGCCUUAGCUUGCAGCACUACCAAGUUGGAGAAAAGUCAGAGUGUUGGGGAGGCGCGUACUAUCUUUUUUCUUUUCUUUUCUUUUAUUUUUUGGGUGUUCAUGCGUGCAGGGUUGAGGGUGGAGGGUGAAGGGUGAGGAAGGCGGUCUAGGAGCGAGAGCUAGGCCACAGAGACGUCUCUGCUUAGCGGCGGCGGCCGGAUAAGGGCGGAUGCAGCUGGAACUCGCCGUUGUGUUACGUCGGUCUGAAGAUAUGAUCUAACCUCGCCACCUAGAUGUAGAUAGAGAAGAAGUGGCUCAGGUGCUCCAUGAGCUGCACCGUCCCCGCUGCUUGUCCUCGUGGUGUAGCUGUUGUCGCUGCUUGCUGCCGGGUCCACAACGGUAGAGGAAUAGAAGCUAGGUUGGGUAGAAGGGGAGCAUAGGACAUGAGGGCGUGGGGGAGUAAGAAGAGAGGGCACCGUCCCUGGCUGCUCAACGUUGCCUGCCCCCCGUCAGGCCGACGACCGCAUUUCCUGCUGCCCACCACCAUCCCGGCACCCUUCUCGUCCAUCUGCCUCUUCCAACGGAUACCUUUAGACCGUUCACCGUCGCCGUAUGUCUAACCGCUCUCCACCCAAUGGUCUUCCUCCGCUGCAAUUUUAGUCACGGUCACUGCUGCUGCUACCUGUGCUACUCGAACCAACCGUCACCGGCGGCGUUGUCACAACAUGAGCCUCGGGUACGAUAGGCUCGAGCUGUUAUGCUUGUCGAGUCAGGAAAACGUCGGCACAAGUAGCUGUUCAACAGGUAUGUCAUGGAACCGUAGUUGUUGGUGCCGGUACUAUCGCCUCAACACGACCGGCUGUCGGGACGAUGGUACGCGGCUCGUCAGAUGACUAAAGUCUUCUGGCACUCCUGACGACCCGAGUUCCCCAACUUAGCCCAAGUGGUGUACACCACCGUUGGACCCAACCGUGAGUAGAACCUCGUGUUAAUUUACCUUUAGUCAUCGUUUUGGUGUUAGACGUAUCACCAUUAGAUUAGGAUCUUAAAUCGAAGUAAAUAUAUAA